rnacentral:rRNA from 1 species
CAUGCAAGUCGAACGAUGAAGCCCAGCUUGCUGGGUGGAUUAGUGGCGAACGGGUGAGUAACACGUGAGUAACCUGCCCCUGACUCUGGGAUAAGCGUUGGAAACGACGUCUAAUACUGGAUAUGACUACUGGUCGCAUGGCCUGGUGGUGGAAAGAUUUUUUGGUUGGGGAUGGACUCGCGGCCUAUCAGCUUGUUGGUGAGGUAAUGGCUCACCAAGGCGACGACGGGUAGCCGGCCUGAGAGGGUGACCGGCCACACUGGGACUGAGACACGGCCCAGACUCCUACGGGAGGCAGCAGUGGGGAAUAUUGCACAAUGGGCGAAAGCCUGAUGCAGCAACGCCGCGUGAGGGAUGACGGCCUUCGGGUUGUAAACCUCUUUUAGUAGGGAAGAAGCGAAAGUGACGGUACCUGCAGAAAAAGCACCGGCUAACUACGUGCCAGCAGCCGCGGUAAUACGUAGGGUGCAAGCGUUGUCCGGAAUUAUUGGGCGUAAAGAGCUCGUAGGCGGUUUGUCGCGUCUGCUGUGAAAUCCCGAGGCUCAACCUCGGGCUUGCAGUGGGUACGGGCAGACUAGAGUGCGGUAGGGGAGAUUGGAAUUCCUGGUGUAGCGGUGGAAUGCGCAGAUAUCAGGAGGAACACCGAUGGCGAAGGCAGAUCUCUGGGCCGUAACUGACGCUGAGGAGCGAAAGCGUGGGGAGCGAACAGGAUUAGAUACCCUGGUAGUCCACGCCGUAAAACGUUGGGCGCUAGAUGUAGGGACCUUUCCACGGUUUCUGUGUCGUAGCUAACGCAUUAAGCGCCCCGCCUGGGGAGUACGGCCGCAAGGCUAAAACUCAAAGG